GACGACCAAUGACAAGGUUGUAAAUAUGCUCAUUUUCAAGGCUUUUAACUGCAAGUUACAGAAAGGGAUACCGACCAAUUUAGACUCAAUGAACACAGAGGCUGAUCAAGGUGUAGAAGGAUCAAGAGAAUUGGUUAUGAUACAACGUGGUUAAUAAGAAAGAUUGAUACUCUAGCUUUUCGGAGAAAGAAGUGACAGUUGAUUCAGCCAAGAAGCUUAAGUGGAGAAGGGAGAUCUAUGGAGAUUCUUAUCUCAUUCCAUUCCACUGACUUAACCAGUAACCUAUGGCGAGAACUCUUUGUGCAUAUCUUAAAUAUUGACGAAGUCUGGAAAUUACAAUCCAUGCAACAUGUAUCCUUAAUAGCUGUAGAUUUUUUAUUUUUUUAAAGUUUUUGAUAAAACUGAAACUUCCGUAAAGACCAAAUGAUUCUACUUUCUGUAAGGGAUAUUUGAUUAUUAUACUUAUCUGUGAUCUUUGAUAA